rnacentral:rRNA from 1 species
UAUGUCUGUAGUGAAAGCGUGUGGCUCAACCAUAUACACAUUACAGAAACUGCUCAGCUAGAGGGCGAGAGAGGUAACUAGAAUUCCUAGUGUAGGAGUGGAAUCCGUAGAUAUUAGGAGGAAUACCGAUGGCGUAGGCAGGUUACUGGCUCGUCCCUGACACUAAGGCACGAAAGCGUGGGUAGCAAACGGGAUUAGAUACCCCGGUAGUCCACGCCGUAAACGAUGAAUGCUA